rnacentral:lncRNA from 1 species
AGGCUCCAUCAUAUGUGUACAAGUCACCACCUCCCCCAUCUCCAUCACCACCACCUCCUUAUGUGUACAAGUCACCACCUCCACCACCAUAUGUGUACAAGUCACCACCUCCUCCAUCUCCAUCACCCCCACCACCAUACUAUUACAAGAGUCCUCCACCACCCUCUCCCUCGCCUCCACCUCCUUACUACUACAAAUCUCCUCCACCACCCUCACCUUCACCUCCACCUCCUUACUACUACAAUCUCCAUCACCCCCACCACCAUACUAUUACAAGAGUCCUCCACCACCCUCUCCCUCGCCUCCACCUCCUUACUACUACAAAUCUCCUCCACCACCCUCACCUUCACCUCCACCUCCUUACUACUACAAAUCUCCUCCACCACCCUCACCUUCACCUCCCCCACCAUACUAUUACAAGUCUCCACCACCACCUUCUCCCUCACCACCACCUCCAUAUUACUACAAAUCUCCACCACCACCCUCACCCUCCCCUCCCCCACCGUACUACUACAACUCUCCCCCACCACCAUAUAUACACAAGGAUCCACCAUACUAUUACAAGUCCCCGCCACCACCUUCACCAUCUCCACCACCACCGUACUACUACAAAUCUCCUCCCACUCCAUCUCCUAUUCCCCAUACCCCAUACUACUACAAAUCUCCUCCCCCUCCAUCUCCUAUUCCCCAUACCCCAUACUACUACAAGUCUCCCCCACCACCCAAGGUCCUUCCACCACCAUACUAUUAUAACUCUCCUCCUCCACCUGUUGUGUAUCCUCACCCACAUCCCUACCACCACUCAUUGAUUGUGAAGGUAAUCGGUAAAGUCUACAGCUUCAGGUGUUAUGACUGGGAGUAUCCUGAAAAAUCUCAUGACAAGAAACAUCUCAAAGGUACAUUACAUUACUACCACAUCCCUACCACCACUCAUUGAUUGUGAAGGUAAUCGGUAAAGUCUACAGCUUCAGGUGUUAUGACUGGGAGUAUCCUGAAAAAUCUCAUGACAAGAAACAUCUCAAAGGUACAUUACAUUACUAAGGAUUAGACUUCUUUAGAGUAAUGAGUUUAGAGUAUAUUCUUAACUAAUUGUCUGUUAAAUUAUUUAUUUAUUUUUUAAAUUUAAUUUUAAUUAAUAUAACAUUGGCAUAGUUUUAAUCAUUAAUGUUUUUGAAGAAAAUAAAAUACUAUCAGUUUUGUUUUAGGAUAUAUAUCCAUAGAUAAUCAAAUAUAAAAUGUAACUUAAUUUCUAUACAUAAUACAAAACAUGAGUUCCUAAGAACCGGCCUCAUAAAAUUAAUUUUGACAAGUAUUGUUUAACAUUCUGCUAUUUUAAUAAUAUUGUCCAAUAUAAUAAGUGUCUUCAAAUUUUACUUAAACUAAUUUUGUUUUGGGGCAGGUGCUGUUGUUGAGGUGACAUGCAAAGCUGGGAGCAAAAUCAUUAAGGCUUAUGGUAAAACUAAGAUCAACGGAAAGUACAGCAUUACAGUUGAGGACUUUGACUAUGUCAAAUAUGGUGCCACAGUGUGCAAGGCCGCCCUUUAUGCUCCACCUAAAGGCUCCCCCUUUAACAUACCUACUAAGCUAAACGAGAACUAAAUUGUACUUGUGUUCCAAAGACUAAGUAUGUAGGCUGGGCUUAAGGCUAAGCCAUUUGCUUAUGCUUCAAAGAAACAUUUUAAAGAAUGUGAGAAGCCCAAGCCUUCACCAACUCCAUACUACUACAAAUCACCUCCACCUCCCACACCAGUUUACAAGCACAAAUCGCCACCUCCACCGGUCCAUUAUUAUUCACCUCCAUAUUACUACAAGUCACCUCCUCCUCCUGUGAAAUCGCCACCAACUCCUUACUACUACAAAUCACCUCCACCUCCCUCACCGAUUUACAAGUACAACUCACCACCUCCACCGGUUUACAAGUACAAGUCGCCUCCUCCCCCGGUCCAUUAUCCCUCACCAGUUUACAAGUACAACUCACCACCUCCCCCAGUCCAUUAUUACACUCCUCCAUAUUCCUACAAAUCACCUCCACCUCCCUCUCCGGUUUACAAAUACAACUCACCACCUCCACCGGUCCAUCAUGAUUCUCCCCCAUACUACUACAAGUCACCUCCACCCCCCUCACCAGUACUCCUCCAUAUUCCUACAAAUCACCUCCACCUCCCUCUCCGGUUUACAAAUACAACUCACCACCUCCACCGGUCCAUCAUGAUUCUCCCCCAUACUACUACAAGUCACCUCCACCCCCCUCACCAGUUUACAAGUACAACUCUCCACCUCCACCAGUUUACAAGUAUAAGUCGCCUCCUCCCCCGGUCCACUAUCCAUCACCGGUUUACAAGUACAACUCACCACCUCCACCGGUUUAUAAGUACAACUCACCACCUCCUCCAGUCCAUUAUUAUUCUCCUCCAUAUUACUACAAGUCACCUCCACCUCCUUCUCCGAUUUACAAAUACAACUCACCACCUCCACCAGUCCAUCAUGAUUCUCCCCCAUAUUACUACAAGUCACCUCCACCCCCCUCACCGGUUUACAAGUACAACUCACCACCUCCACCGGUUUAUAAGUACAACUCACCACCUCCACCGGUUCAUUAUUAUUCUCCUCCAUAUUACUACAAGUCACCUCCACCUCCAUCUCCGGUUUACAAAUACAACUCACCACCUCCACCGGUCCAUCAUGAUUCUCCCCCAUAUUACUACAAGUCACCUCCACCCCCCUCACCGGUUUACAAGUACAACUCACCACCUCCACCAGUAUACAAGUACAAGUCACCUCCACCCCCCUCACCGGUUUACAAGUAUAACUCACCACCUCCACCAGUAUACAAGUACAAGUCACCUCCUCCCCCAGUCCAUUAUCCCUCACCGGUUUAUAAGUACAACUCACCACCACCUCCAUAUUAUUACAAGUCCCCACCUCCACCAUCCCCGUCCCCUCCUCCACCAUACUAUUAUAAGUCCCCACCACCACCCUCGCCAUCUCCACCGCCACCUUACUAUUAUAAGUCACCUCCUCCACCUAAGGAGAUUUCAAACCCACCAUACUACUAUAAGUCACCACCCCCACCAUCACCUUCCCCUCCUCCACCAUACUAUUAUAAGUCCCCACCUCCACCAUCACCAUCCCCACCCCCUCCAUACUAUUACAAAUCUCCUCCACCACCAUCACCAUCACCACCACCUCCCUACUAUUACAAAUCACCUCCACCACCAUCACCAUCUCCUCCCCCUCCAUACUAUUACAAAUCUCCACCACCUCCAUCACCAUCUCCACCCCCUCCCUACUAUUACAAAUCACCUCCACCACCCUCACCAUCGCCGCCACCUCCUUACUAUUACAAAUCUCCCCCACCUCCAUCUCCAUCACCACCACCUCCUUAUCACUAUCAAAGUCCUCCUCCACCAUCUCCCAUUUCUCAUCCUCCCUACUACUACAAAUCCCCUCCACCACCAUCGUCGUCUCCUCCACCUCCUUACCAAUAUGUGAGUCCUCCCCCACCGGUAAAGUCACCUCCACCACCAGCUUAUAUUUAUGCUUCACCACCACCACCCAUCUACAACUAAGCUCAAACUGCAGAAGCACCAUUCAUGAUAAAUCAUGUAAGUUUAUCAUUUUUAUUGUUAUUAGUUUGUGUUUUUGUGUGUUAUAUACCUGAUAAUAACCAAAAUUCCUAUUCUUAUUUGUUUUCAGGUUCCAGUUUUCAUCUAGGAAUAAAGUCAAUCUCCAUUUGGAGCAAAGUGAAACUUCUAGCUUCAUGUCUAAAUUCGUUAAAUAAAUGUCUGGAUAUAUCAUCUUUGAGUUAUAAUAUUUAUGAUCCAGACAAUAUUUAUUUUAUUUCUUUGGUGCCAAUCUUGCACUUCCUUGUCUUAUUCUAUUCAAGGGAUAGACAAAUCUAAAGGGAGAAGCGAGAUUAGUUUAUUUGUGGUCUCUUUGAUUUAUUUGUGUAUAGAUCAAUAUGGAUGUGUAUUAUAGUUUUUUAUUUAUUGAAGAAUUUUUUAUUGUAACCAGCUAUUGUGUUUGCCAAAAGUUGUUAUCAAAUAAGAAUCACAUUCAACUUCUGUCAAUUAUUAC